UACGUAGGGGGCAAGCGUUGUCCGGAAUCAUUGGGCGUAAAGCGCGUGUAGGCGGUUCGGUAAGUCGGCUGUGAAAGCCCCGGGCUCAACCUGGGAAUGGCGAUGGAUACUGGCUCGCUAGAGUGCGGUAGAGGAGAGUGGAAUUCCCGGUGUAGCAGUGAAAUGCGUAGAGAUCGGGAGGAACAUCAGUUGCGAAGGCGGCUCUCUGGACCAGCACUGACACUGAGGCACGAAAGCGUGGGGAGCAAACAGG
rnacentral:rRNA from 1 species